rnacentral:misc_RNA from 1 species
GAUGAAGAACGUAGCGAAACGCGAUAGUUAAUGUGAAUUGCAGAAUUCAGUGAAUCAUCGAGUCUUUGAACGCACAUUGCGCCCCCUGGUAUUCCGGGGGGCAUGCCCGUCCGAGCGUCAUUGCUGCCCAUCAAGCGCGGCUUGUGUGUUGGGCCGCCGUCCGCCUUCCCCCCCGGGGGGAGGGGGACGGGCCCGAAAGGCAGCGGCGGCACCGCGUCCGGUCCUCGAGCGUAUGGGGCUCUGUCACCCGCUCUGGAGGCCCGGCCGGCGCCCGCCGACCCCCAACCUUCUUCUAACCAGGUUGACCUCGGAUCAGGUAGGGAUACCCGCUGAACUUAAGCAUAUCAAUAAGCGGAGGA